UACAGAGGGUGCGAGCGUUAAUCGGAAUUACUGGGCGUAAAGCGUGCGUAGACGGUUAUUUAAGUCAGGUGUGAAAGCCCCGGGCUCAACCUGGGAAUUGCAUUUGAGACUGAAUAGCUAGGGUGCGGAAGAGGGAAGCGGAAUUUCCGGUGUAGCGGUGAAAUGCGUAGAUAUCUGGAGGAACACCGGUGGCGAAGGCGGCAUCCUGGACCGACGACUGACGCUGAGGAGCGAAAGCCAGGGGAGCAAACGGG
rnacentral:rRNA from 1 species